GACAUAGGGGGCAAGCGUUGUCCGGAAUUACUGGGCGUAAAGGGAGCGUAGGCGGGAAAUUAAGUUAAGUGUGAAAGCCUUGGGCUUAACCCAAGAAAUGCACUUGAUACUGGUUUUCUAGAGUGUAGGAGAGGUAAGUGGAAUUCCUAGUGUAGCGGUAAAAUGCGUAGAGAUUAGGAGGAACAUCAGAGGCGAAGGCGGCGGUCUGGCCUGUAACUGACGCUCAUUCCCGAAAGCGUGGGGAGCAAAUAGG
rnacentral:rRNA from 1 species